rnacentral:rRNA from 1 species
UACAGAGGGGGCAAGCGUUAUUCGGAAUUAUUGGGCGUAAAGGGCGCGUAGGCGGCGAUUCAAGUGACGGGUGAAAUCCCUCGGCUUAACCGAGGAACUGCCUGUCAGACUGGGUUGCUUGAGACCGGGAGAGGCGAGUGGAAUUCCCAGUGUAGCGGUGAAAUGCGUAGAUAUUGGGAGGAACACCAGUGGCGAAGGCGGCUCGCUGGACCGGAACUGACGCUGAGGCGCGAAAGCGUGGGGAGCGAACAGG